rnacentral:rRNA from 1 species
CUACGGGGGGCAGCAGUGGGGAAUAUUGCACAAUGGGCGCAAGCCUGAUGCAGCCAUGCCGCGUGUAUGAAGAAGGCCUUCGGGUUGUAAAGUACUUUCAGCGGGGAGGAAGGGAGUAAAGUUAAUACCUUUGCUCAUUGACGUUACCCGCAGAAGAAGCACCGGCAACUCCGUGCCAGCAGCCGCGGUAAUACGGAGGGUGCAAGCGUUAAUCGGAAUUACUGGGCGUAAAGCGCACGCAGGCGGUUUGUUAAGUCAGAGGUGAAAUCCCCGGGCUCAACCUGGGAACUGCAUCUGAGACUGGCAAGCUUGAGUCUCGUAGAGGGGGGUAGAAUUCCAGGUGUAGCGGUGAAAUGCGUAGAGAUCUGGAGGAAUACCGGUGGCGAAGGCGGCCCCCUGGACGAAGACUGACGCUCAGGUGCGAAAGCGUGGGGAGCAAACAGGAUUAGAUACCCCGGUAGUC